UUUCCAUAGGUGAACCUGCGGAAGGAUCAUUACAGAGUUCAUGCCCUCACGGGUAGAUCUCCCACCCUUGAAUAUUUAUACCUUAGUUGCUUUGGCAGGCCGUGGAAACACCAUGGGCUCCGGCUUAUGCGUGCCUGCCAGAGGAAACAAACUCUGUUUUUAGUGAUGUCUGAGUACUAUAUAAUAGUUAAAACUUUCAACAACGGAUCUCUUGGUUCUG
rnacentral:misc_RNA from 1 species